CUUUACUGUAGCUUGGUAUUGGGUUCGGGCUUUGACUGCGCAGGAUAGGUGGGAGACUAUGAAGCUGCCCUUGUGGGGGCAGUGGAGUCAUCAGUGAGAUACCACUCUGUCAAGGCUAGAAUUCUAACCGUCUGCCGUUAUCCGGCGACGGAACAGUAUCAGGUGGGCAGUUUGACUGGGGCGGUCGCCUCCUAAAUGGUAACGGAGGCGCGCAAAGGUUCCCUCAGGCUGGUUGGAAAUCAGCCGAAGAGUGUAAAGGCAGAAGGGAGCUUGACUGCAAGAGCAACAACUCAAGCAGGGACGAAAGUCGGCCUUAGUGAUCCGACGGCGCUGAGUGGAAGGGCCGUCGCUCAACGGAUAAAAGUUA
rnacentral:rRNA from 1 species